ACCCCGCAGGGCCGCACCUCGCCCUGACCGCCAAUGGCGAGGGGCGACCCCAGCCGCCAGGCUGUGGGCUCGGGUCGCGCGCCCUUCACCCUCCAGGCCCGCCACACCAGGCCCCCUUGGGGCAGGGGGCCUGGGUCCCCCAGGCAGGUCUCCCCGGGGCACUCUGGGGACACCGGAGGCCUGCCUGCCCCAAACCGCGCCCCAUGGCGGCUGCCUGUCCACCGGACACAACGUAACCCGCACAGACCGCCUGCCGCCGGGCGCCCGGAACCUGCCACCAGUUCGGCGCUCGGGCCCCACGCAAGGACACGCCACAGCCCCGGCGCCAGCACCGGAAGGCCCGCCGGGCCCCAUGGGACCCUUUCCUUUGCGUGGCACACCCAUGCACACCCAGGCCUCCCUACCUCCAGCACCAGCGUCUCCACGGGAGACGCACCAGGCCCUGGGCCCAGCGGGACCCUCGCACCGAAACUCACGCCCCUUCCGCCGCCGCCUGCCCCCUUUCCUCCACAGCAGACUCCCUCCUUGCCACCAGCUCCCGCCCGGCACCAGCUCGGCUGGGCUCCAGUCCGCAGGCGUGGCUAGCUCUGCUGGGUAUCAACCUCACACUGCCUCCCACUGCGCAACUCCCUGUCCUCCCUCCCCGGGAACACGGCCUCAGCCAGGCCAGGGGCGCCGCACGGCCUCAACGUCCAGCCCCGUGUGUGGAACCUUAGCGGCCCCGGGAGCUGGCCGCGGGCUCACACAUCUAUGGCCCGCCGGCACCCAUGACCGGCCAGGGCACAGGCACCCAGCUCCCAUUCACGUGCCCGGGACCCCUCUGUCCUGCCUUCCACGCGCCGCCCAAAUCUCUGAGGAUAUCCCACAUCAUAGCCCAGGCCGCCCUGAAGGCACUGCCGCCCCGGGCACCCAACUCUCCCCCUCACGGUGCUGUGCGCACACUGGCCCAGGACCUCUGGCCCUCCCGCACUUCUCUCGACCCCAUCCGCGGCCGACUCGGCACCGCCCAGGGCCACCUGGCGCCCCACCGCCUCCACGUCUCUGGGAACUGCCGCAGGGGCUCCAGGUUCCGAUGCCCCCCAGGGACUCUGCGAGGGACAGGCACUGGCAGCC
rnacentral:lncRNA from 9 species